CGGCUCUGCAAGUCGCUGGGGAGAUGAAGCAGCGGACUCACAAUCCGUCGGUCGAAGGUUCGAGUCCUUCAGGGCCCGCCA
rnacentral:tRNA from 1 species